AUUGAACGCUGGCGGCAUGCCUUACACAUGCAAGUCGAACGGCAGCACGGGAGCAAUCCUGGUGGCGAGUGGCGAACGGGUGAGUAAUAUAUCGGAACGUGCCCAGUAGUGGGGGAUAACUGCUCGAAAGAGCAGCUAAUACCGCAUACGACCUGAGGGUGAAAGGGGGGGAUCGCAAGACCUCUCGCUAUUGGAGCGGCCGAUAUCAGAUUAGCUAGUUGGUGGGGUAAAGGCCUACCAAGGCAACGAUCUGUAGUUGGUCUGAGAGGACGACCAGCCACACUGGGACGGAGACACGGCCUAGACUCCUACGGGAGGCAGCAGUGGGGAAUUUUGGACAAUGUGCGCAAGCCUGAUCCAGCAAUGCCGCGUGCAGGAAGAAGGCCUUCGGGUUGUAAACUGCUGUUGUCAGGGAAGAAAUCCUCUAGGUUAAUACCCUUGGGGGGAUGACGGUACCUGAAGAAUAAGCACCGGCUAACUACGUGCCAGCCGCCGCGGUAACAC
rnacentral:rRNA from 1 species